UAACCAGUGAACAGGUGCAAUUGUAAUUAU
rnacentral:sRNA from 1 species